rnacentral:rRNA from 1 species
UACGAAGGGUGCAAGCGUUACUCGGAAUUACUGGGCGUAAAGCGUGCGUAGGUGGUGAGUUAAGUCUGAUGUGAAAUCCCCGGGCUCAACCUGGGAAUGGCAAUGGAUACUGGCAGGCUAGAGUGCGGUAGAGGGUAGUGGAAUUCCCGGUGUAGCGGUGAAAUGCGUAGAGAUCGGGAGGAACACCAGUGGCGAAGGCGGCUACCUGGACCAGCACUGACACUGAGGCACGAAAGCGUGGGGAGCAAACAGG